rnacentral:rRNA from 1 species
GACGAACGCUGGCGGCGUGCUUAACACAUGCAAGUCGAACGGAAAGGCCCUGCUUUUGUGGGGUGCUCGAGUGGCGAACGGGUGAGUAACACGUGAGUAACCUGCCCUUGACUUUGGGAUAACUUCAGGAAACUGGGGCUAAUACCGGAUAGGAGCUCCUGCUGCAUGGUGGGGGUUGGAAAGUUUCGGCGGUUGGGGAUGGACUCGCGGCUUAUCAGCUUGUUGGUGGGGUAGUGGCUUACCAAGGCUUUGACGGGUAGCCGGCCUGAGAGGGUGACCGGCCAAAUUGGGACUGAGAUACGGCCCAAACUCCUACGGGAGGCAGCAGUGGGGAAUAAUGCACAAUGGGCGGAAGCCUGAUGCAGCAACGCCGCGUGCGGGAUGACGGCCUUCGGGUUGUAAACCGCUUUCGCCUGUGACGAAGCGUGAGUGACGGUAAUGGGGAAAGAAGCACCGGCUAACUACGUG